rnacentral:rRNA from 1 species
UGAGCAAUCUGCCCUUCUCAUCGGAAUAAGCGUUGGAAACGACGUCUAAUGCCGAAUACGACCUCCUUUCGCAUGAUCGGAGGUGGAAAGCUCCGGCGGAGAAGGAUGAGCUCGCGGCCUAUCAGUUAGUUGGUGUGGGUAAUGGCCCACCAAGGCGACGACGGGUAGCCGGCCUGAGAGGGUGACCGGCCACACUGGGACUGAGACACGGCCCAGACUCCGUACGGGAGGNAGCG